rnacentral:rRNA from 1 species
GACGAACGCUGGCGGCGUGCCUAAUACAUGCAAGUAGAACGCUGAAGGAGGAGCUUGCUCUUCUGGAUGAGUUGCGAACGGGUGAGUAACGCGUAGGUAACCUGCCUGGUAGCGGGGGAUAACUAUUGGAAACGAUAGCUAAUACCGCAUAAGAGUAGAUGUUGCAUGACAUUUACUUAAAAGGUGCAAUUGCAUCACUACCAGAUGGACCUGCGUUGUAUUAGCUAGUUGGUGGGGUAACGGCUUACCAAGGCGACGAUACAUAGCCGACCUGAGAGGGUGAUCGGCCACACUGGGGCUGAGACACGGCCCAGACUCCUACGGGAGGCAGCAGUAGGGAAUCUUCGGCAAUGGACGGAAGUCUGACCGAGCAACGCCGCGUGAGUGAAGAAGGUUUUCGGAUCGUAAAGCUCUGUUGUAAGAGAAGAACGAGUGUGAGAGUGGAAAGUUCACACUGUGACGGUAUCUUACCAGAAAGAGACGGCUAACUACGUG